AGAGAGAGCUUCCUUGAGUCCAUUCACAGGUCGUGAUAUGAUUCAAUUAGCUUCCGACUCAUUCAUCCAAAUACCGAGUCGCCAAAAUUCAAACUAGACUCGUUAAAUGAAUGAAUGAUGCGGUAGACAAAUUGGAUCAUUGAUUCUCUUUGAUUGGACUGAAGGGAGCUCCCUCU
rnacentral:pre_miRNA from 1 species